rnacentral:rRNA from 1 species
AUUGAACGCUGGCGGCAGGCCUAACACAUGCAAGUCGAGCGGUAGAGAGGUGCUUGCAUCUCUUGAGAGCGGCGGACGGGUGAGUAAUGCCUAGGAAUCUGCCUAGUGGUGGGGGAUAACGUUCGGAAACGGACGCUAAUACCGCAUACGUCCUACGGGAGAAAGCGGGGGGAUCUUCGGACCUCGCGCCAUUAGAUGAGCCUAGGUCGGAUUAGCUAGUUGGUGAGGUAAUGGCUCACCAAGGCGACGAUCCGUAACUGGUCUGAGAGGAUGAUCAGUCACACUGGAACUGAGACACGGUCCAGACUCCUACGGGAGGCAGCAGUGGGGAAUAUUGGACAAUGGGCGAAAGCCUGAUCCAGCCAUGCCGCGUGUGUGAAGAAGGUCUUCGGAUUGUAAAGCACUUUAAGUUGGGAGGAAGGGCAGUAAGUUAAUACCUUGCUGUUUUGACGUUACAAC